rnacentral:rRNA from 1 species
AUUGCCUCAGUACGGCGAGUGAAGCGGCAAAAGCUCAAAUUUGAAAUCUAGCACUUUCAGUGUUCGAGUUGUAAUUUGAAGAAGGUAACUUUGGUUUUGGCUCUUGUCUAUGUUCCUUGGAACAGGACGUCACAGAGGGUGAGAAUCCCGUGCGAUGAGAUGCCCAAUUCCAUGUAAAGUGCUUUCGAAGAGUCGAGUUGUUUGGGAAUGCAGCUCUAAGUGGGUGGUAAAUUCCAUCUAAAGCUAAAUAUUGGCGAGAGACCGAUAGCGAACAAGUACAGUGAUGGAAAGAUGAAAAGAACUUUGAAAAGAGAGUGAAAAAGUACGUGAAAUUGUUGAAAGGGAAGGGCUUGAGAUCAGACUUGGUAUUUUGCGUUCCCUUCCUUUUUGGUUGGGUUCCUCGCAGUUUACUGGGCCAGCAUCGGUUUGGAUGGUAGGAUAAUGACAUUGGAAUGUAGCUUUACUUCGGUGAAGUGUUAUAGACUUUGUUGAUACUGCCUAUCUAGACCGAGGACUGCGUCUUUG